GAUAUUAAUGAAAUAAAUAAAACUUUUAGAGUUUUUAAUUCAUUAAAAUAUACUAAUUGAAUAUAAAUUUGUUAUAUCCUGAAAGGAGCUCUAAUAAUGUGCUUCGGUACCGGAGUUAUGGUAUGGGCAAGAGUCGAUAUAAUACCAAUACUAAAUAGACCACUUCAAGGACAUCGCCUUAACAACCCAGAGGAGAAAGAUGAAUGACGCACCUAUCAUAACCUAAUCCUUAAAUAAAAUUUUGAAAAUGAGAAACACUAGAUUUCUUACUUUUCCAAGCAUCAUCUAGUGUCUUGUUCACAUUUAUGAUAAACACAACCGAUGUAAAUUUUAUUGGUCCUUUUAUUAGUAGUGAUUAGAAUAGUAUUACUCAAACUUUUGCAUGCACGUACAUGUAUUUACUAAAAAUUG
rnacentral:lncRNA from 1 species